GGCGCGAUGGCCGAGUGGUUAAGGCGUUGGACUUAAGUUCCAAUGGAUGUACGUCCUCGUGGGUUCGAACCCCACUCGCGCCA
rnacentral:tRNA from 1 species